AUGGACGCCGAUAAGGUGGCAGCUGUCGCAGCCUGGCCGACGCCGCACUCACCACGGGCUAUCCGCGGCUUCCUGGGCCUCGCAGGGUACUAUCAGAAAUUUAUCCGAGAGUUCGGCCUCAUCGCAUCCCCGCUGACGCGCCUGCUGCGACGCGACACGUUCGCCUGGGAUGCGGAGGCCACUAAGGCGUUCGAGGCUCUCAAGAGGGCCCUCACGACGGGUCCCGUCCUCCAGAUGCCCGACUUUGACCGGCCGUUCAUGGUGGACUGCGACGCCUUUGGUGUGGGGUUUCGGCGCCGUCCUUCAUCAGGGCGACAGGCCGCUUGCGUUCUUCAGCAGGCCCUUCGCCGCGCGCUAUCAUAA
rnacentral:rRNA from 1 species